CUGGGAACUCACAUAAGCUUGUUGCAAACCGGAGGCUGAAAGGAGGCCCGAUUCUCUUCUACCCAAGACUUCACUCUCACACAGCGCUCCAUGGCCGGCAGGCAGGACUCUUCUGACCACAACGUGGUCGCCAGGAUACACGUAGACUGCAGUUUCCCUUCCCCCAACCCCCACUCCUCCCACUUCCCACCACCACCCCUCCUCUCCCCUAGAUCCACUCCUCCUCCGUUUUCCUUCAGAAAAGAGCAGGCCUCCCAGGGAUCGCCAUUGAACAUGGCUUAACAAGAUGUAAAAAGACCAGCCACAAACCCGCCUAUCAAGGCUGGACAAGGCAACUCAGUAGGAGGAAUCGGGUCCCAGGUGCAGGCACACAGUCGGAGACAGCCCCUGCUUUCACUGGUCCCAUAAAACUCCAAGCUAACGAGCAUAACAUAAGCAGAGAACCCAACCCAGACCCAUGCGGGCUCCCCGAUUGCUGCUUCCGUCUCCGUGAGACCUUAUGAACCCUGCUUAGUUGGAUCUGUGGGCGGUCUUCUCCUGGUGUCCUUGACCCCUCUGACUCCUACAAUCAACAAUUUAGGAUUUCGGAGACUGGCUCUUGGAAGCUUUGUAAUUGCUGAGCGUCUCACCUGGAACACUGCUGCCCCCCUGUGCAGAAAUCUGGGCUAGCAUCCUUGAGGUGUGAGGAUUCAUGGCAGAAAAUGGCCAGAGAGGCCUGCGGUAUUACGUCUGCUUAGAUGCCCCAGUGAAGAUGGCUGACCGGAUUAGCAGAAUGCAGUUUAAAUCAAGCGGAAUGGCUAGGACUGCAGGUCACUGAAUUGGGAUGGCGAGUUACACUCCAGCUAACCGAGACUUCAGCCAUUAAGUGUUGCUCUGUUUUAAGUGGACUGAACCAGUCCUGAGACCUUAGCGCACCCGACAUCAGGUGGGUGCCACUAUUCUGACCUCAGAACCCAGCCCGUGGACCCCCACAGCUGCCAUUGAAGACCUAGUUUGUAGUGUCAGGAUCUGGGCAAGUUCCUAAAUGCUCUAACCUUGCCUUUCAGCUUCUGUAGUGCCACUGUUCUUGCUAACUAAAGUGUGUCAACCAGGAUGUGAUGUUUGCACAUAAAGGGCAAAGAACAGAGCCACUUGGGCUGCAUGAUUUGGGCAAGUUCCCCUGCAGUCGCUGGCUGGCAAGGCCUCUGUUGUGCUUUAAGAGUGUCUGUGUGGGAUGAACCUAGGCCUCCUCGCACAUACGUAGUAGAUGUGCAGCCUGGUCUUCAUGUGGGUCCCGAACAACCGGAGUGGGGCUAUCCCAAAAGCUGCUGCCUGUUUAAGGGAUAUGUUUUUCUGCUGGGCUGGCUUGUCUGACCUCAGUAGAAGAGGAUGUAUCUAGCCCCACAGAGACUUGAUGUGCCAGUGUGGGGGAUAUCCAGGAGGGGCCCCACCCACUCAGAGGAGAAGGGGAUGGGGGACAGGGGAAAGGGUUGUGAGAGGGAAUGACCAGGAGGGGUGCAGUGAGCAGGAUGUAAAAUGAAUUAAAAAAUAAAAGACUCUCCAUGUGUUCUCUGGUGAAAUACCUCUCAUGAAUGGGCCAUGGCUGGAGUUUAAACAGAUCUGGUCUGACAUGUCUGGUAUUUAGUAGCUGGGUCCACACAUUUCAUAUUUAAUUACUGAUAUAAUUGUGUUGAUGAAAGGAAGAAGUCCUUAAUCCUAUCAUAGGAAAUAGAGUUUAAUUGAACAAAGAAAACAAUACAUCAGUGAGACAGCUCCAAGAACAGAGCAGGCUCUGAGAACGGCAACCAGCGUUGAAUUCUGAAGGUGUUUGCAAAGCAAGGGAACCUACACACACACACACACACAUACACACACACAUACACACACACACACACACAGACACACACACAGACACACACACAGACACACACACACACACACACACACACACACAAUCAGUAGUUAGCUGCUCAGUCCAUUUCAGGGCCUCCAGGAGUCAAUGAUUCACAGGUCCUGCCUUUGAACUCUACCCACAUUCGCUUGGUAUAUUGGGCCAAAUGUUGGACUCCAUUCCAAGUCCAUGGGCCUCUGCAGAUAUUACGGGUAGUACUUAUGCUGACAUUUUGUUCUGGAUUUUCCAAUGGCUGUACAGAACUGGCUUUCUAUUAAUGCUGUGACACAAAAUUAGUGGUGUAAAAAUAAUGCUAGUAAGCCAGGCCUGGUGGCCACAGCCUAUUAUCCUGGCUACGGGACAUAGAGCAGCGGUUCUCAACCUUUGCAGCCCUUUAGUAGUUUCCUAUGUGUUCUCUCUCUCUCUCUCUCUCUCUCUCUCUCUCUCUCUCUCUC